AAAUAGCUGCUUGAUCGUACGCCCUCGCCGCAGCCUCCGCUGUCUCGAACGUCCCCAGCCAUAUUCUCUUCUUCCUGCACACACGAACCCGAAAAACAUCGUUCGUUACCGAGCACAAACCAAAAUGUAGUAAUAUAUAGUGCUCGUUAACGAACAAGUACACGAUCGUGUGUUCGUUAACGAACAAGAGCACUCGAGCGAGGCACGACCCGAAAAGGUAAUAUAUAGUGCUCGUUAACGAACAAGUACACGAUCGUGUGUUUGUUAACGAACAAGUGCACUCGAACGAGGCACAAACAAAAAGGGAUAGUGCUCGUUAACGAACAAGUACAUUAGAAGGGUUGUUGUCAUGUUUUCUUACAAUAGAGGGUGGCGGAUUUCUGACACCCAUGAGCCCCAUUGGCGCUGCCUGACACCUCUGAACUUGUUGGGUUGUACCAUGAUUCUCUCAGGUAGUUACUUCUAUGUAAUAUAUAUAUAGAGAGAGAGAAAGAAGAGAGAGAGAAGGAGAUAAAUAAUGCUACAAUGGGUGAAAAUAAACUGCAAAAGUUGGGUAAGUGAAGUUUGAGGAGAAUAAGGUAGAGGGUGUUUUAAUGAGAGGUGUCGGUGGUGAAGAAGAGUUGUGGGAAGAAAGUGGCAAAACUACUUAGUUUUUUGUGGUUGCAAUAAAGACUUUCACCAA